rnacentral:rRNA from 1 species
CCUACGGGAGGCAGCAGUGGGGGAUAUUGCACAAUGGGGGGAACCCUGAUGCAGCGAAGCAGCGUGGGUGAAGAAGCGCCUCGGCGCGUAAAGCCCUGUCAGCAGGGAAGAAAAUGACGGUACCUGAAGAACAAUCCCCGGCUAACUACAUGCCAGCAGCCGCGGUAAUACGUAGGGGCCAAGCGUUAUCCGGAUUUAGUGGGUGUAAGGGGGGCGCAGACGGGGUUGCAAGCCAGGAGUGAAAGCCCGGGGCCCAACCCCGGGAUUGCCCUUGGAACUGCGUGGCUGGAGUGCAGGAGGGGAAGGCGGAAUUCCUGGUGUAGCGGUGAAAUGCGUAGAUAUCAGGAGGAACACCGGUGGCGAAGGCGGCCUGCUGGACUGCAACUGACGUUGAGGCCCGAAAGCGUGGGUAUCAAACAGGAUUAGAUACCCCUGUAGUC